UACACUAAAAUCCCGAUGUGGCUAUCAAUUGAGGCAACACGGGAAACCUCACCCAGCCCAGACACGGAAAGGAUUGACAGAUCGAUAGCUCUUUCUCGAUUCUGUGGGUGGUGAUGAAUGGCCGUUCUUAGUUGGUGGAGCGAUUUGUCUGGUUAAUUCCGAUAACGAACGAGACUCUGGCAUGCUAACUAGUUAUGCGACCCCUGAGCGGUUGACGUCCAACUUCUUAGAGGGACAAGUGGUGUUCAGCCACCCGAGAUUGAGCAAUAACAGGUCUGUGAUGCCCUUAGAAUUCCGGGGCUACACGUGCGCUAUACUGACUGGCUCAGCGUGUGUCUACCCUACGCCGACAGGUGCAAGUAACCCGUUGAACCCCAUUCAUGAUGGGGAUCGGGGAUUGCAAUUAUUCCCCAUGAACGAGGAAUUCCCAGUAAGUGCGGGUCAUAAGCUCGCGUUGAUUAAGUCCCUG
rnacentral:ncRNA from 1 species